CUCUCUCUCUCUCUCUCUCAAAAUAAAUAAAUAAGUCAAUUUUUUCCAGUUUAAAAAAAUAACAAAAUACAACCAUUGUAACAAUAUAAUGAAAGUUACGUGAACGUGGUCUGUCUGUCUCUCAAAAUGUCUCGUGCUGCACUCACCCUUCUUCUUCCUCCUGUGAUGCUGUGAGCUGACAAAAUGCCUGUGUCAAUGAUGAGAUAAAGUGAGGCGGGAGACGCAGGCCUUGUGACUUGGCGUCAGGCUGCUGUUGACCUGAUGGUGCUCCCGGAGGAUCAUCUGCUUCCGGACCCUGGUUGACCUCGGGUAACCGAAGUCCGUGGGUAAGGGGAGACGACGGUAUAGGCCUGGCACUCAAGGAGAACGUUCGGGAAAGAAGCUGUAGCUAGAAAGGGAUCAGGAUCGUCACCGCGGCCCACUUUUUGUUUAUUUGCGGAUCACCGCCUGCCCAGCCCUUUAUUUGUAAUGUUUAAAGCAAAUGACAAGUUUUCUUUCAGGAUUUAAUGUAUGACGAAGGUGAGGUUUUGCAACUAGUCGGGAAAGGAUGGAUUGUUCAGCAAAUGAUGUGGGCACCGCUGUUUUCCCAUGAGGAAAAAAGGUAAAGGCUUUUUGAUAAGAUGCUCACCGGAUGUAUUUAUGAUGUCUUCAGAAGAACCACAGGGGCGCCUGGGUGGCUCAGUCGGUUAAGCGCCCAACUCUCAGUUUCGGCUCGGGUCGUGAUCUCAUGCCUCGUGGGUUCGAGCCCCUCGUCGGCUGUGCACUUGACGAUGCUUCAGAUCAGAUCCUCUGUCUCCCUUUCCUUCUGCCCCUCCCCAGCUCAUGCUCCCUCUCUCUCUGUCUCUGUCUCUCUCUGUCUCUGUCUCUGUCUCUCUCUCAGAUGAUUAAACGUUAAAAAACAAGAAAGAACCGCAAAUCUACUGGAAGAGACAUGGGCGUGUUUAUAGCAGCUCACCCCUGCUCAGUGGCCCUGGCCUUGAAAGCACACGUCCCUCCGCCCCCCGCUCGUCGUCCUUCCGGUCUGGGCUCAAGCGACACUUCCUCGGGCGGGUGGCUCAUCCUCCACCCGCAACCGGGCAAAGGUCACCUGGCGUAUCUCAUGCCUACCUCGCCUUUGCCACAUUUUGGACAUUUGUAAGUUACCCAAGUAUUUGGAGGGUUUUUGUUUCUUUUGAGAGACAGAGAGUGCACGUG